GAAUGCAGCUGGAGACCAUUUUCCUAGGUGAAUUCAGAGCCGUUAUCCUAAGUGAAUUGAUGUAGUAACAGAAAAUCAAAUACUGCAUGUUCUCACAAGUGGCAGUGAAACAUUGGGUACUCAUGGACAUGAAGAUGACAACAAUAGAUACUGGGACUUCUGGAAGAGGGAACGAGUCUAUCAUUGAUGGGCAUUUCGGUUGUUGCCAUUCUUAUAUAAACCUGCCCGCACUUGAAUAGAAUACGUUCAGACAGCAAAGAAUGCCCAAUUAAUGAAGGAGUUGCUGCCUUACAGUUACAGAAGACUUGUAGAAGACCAUGUGAGUAAUCAACAGCCCACCUCCUGCCAGGCUUCUAGUGGUUUUACAAGCAAGCAAUGCCUUUCUCAAGGACCUGAGAGCCAUCUCUUUGAAAUGCAGUCAAUUCUCCUGUGAGAGAGCAAGAGCUAAAAAUUGAAAACUGCCAAUUAGCAAAGACAGAAUGACUCAUCACAUUACCAGCCUCUCUUAUUAUGUCCUCCAGUACUUUUCACUAGAUCACCCCGUGCUAAAAAAACUCCCCCUCCUUUUUAUCCACUGUGUUCAGUUCAAUAUCUCCUCUUUAUGCAAUAGUCUUAAAGUCCUUCUAACCUGUUUAUUUUGCCUGGUGCACAAUUUUCUUUGACAAUAAUAUCAUGUUUGGAAAUGACUUGAUGAAAUAACAUUUCUUUAAUGUCAUAGUUCUCAAAACAUGAAUACUUUAAUAAACUCAGCUUCAUAAAAUAUAAUUUCUGAAACUCAAAUAAAUGUAAAUAUUAUCGAUAUGUAAUAUGUAAUGACGUCAAUAGAUAUUGAGCACUCACUAUGAGCCAAAUCACAUUUUUAGUAUUAGAAAAAUGUGAAAAUAAAUAUGACACUGUCUCUGCCAUGUAUUAUUGCAUGUGUUAAAAAUGGAGUUAAACAAAUAUUCAAAAUUAU